GGGAUAACAGUUACGAAGAACUGCUAAUACCGCAUGUGGUUAUCGGAUUUAGAAACUGAUAACUAAAGGAGCAAUUCGCUUUGGGACGGGACCUGCGUCCCAUCAGCUAGUUGGUGAGGUAAUGGCUCACCAAGGCUACGACGGGUAGGGGACCUGAGAGGGUCGACCCCCACAAUGGAACUGAAACACGGUCCAUACACCUACGGGUGGCAGCAGUAGGAAUAUUGCACAAUGGGCGAAAGCCUGAUGCAGCAACGCCGCGUGUGCGAUGAAGGCCCUCGGGUCGUAAAGCACUUUUCUGAGAGAUGAGCAAGGACAGUAUCUCAGGAAUAAGUCUCGGCUAACUACGUGCCAGCAGCCGCGGUAAAACGUAGGAGGCAAGCGUUAUCCGGAUUCACUGGGCGUAAAGCGCGUGCAGGCGGUUCGGUAAGUUGGGUAUGAAAUCUCCUGGCUUAACUAGGAGAGGUUAUCCAAUACUACCGGACUUGAGAGUGGUAGAGGAAG
rnacentral:rRNA from 1 species